AUGAAUGCCCUAGUUUGGAACUGCCGGGGGGGGGGGGGACCGCGGACAGUUCGUGAGGUUUUGGCCCUCUCAAAAGCCAAUAACCCCAAGCUUGUCUUCCCGUGCAAGACUAGGCAAGCUACUAUGAAAAUAGAAAAGUUACGUUAGAGACUUGGUCUGAAAGGUUUUCAUGGUGUGAGUAGUGAUGGGAGGAGUGGGGCUUAG
rnacentral:rRNA from 1 species